rfam:Schistosoma margrebowiei strain Zambia genome assembly, scaffold: SMRZ_contig0002409
AUCCAGCUGAUGAGUCCUAAAUAGGACGAAAUGAGCAUCAUAGAU